rnacentral:rRNA from 1 species
AUUGAACGCUGGCGGCAGGCCUAACACAUGCAAGUCGAGCGAGCGGCGGACGGGUGAGGAAUGUAUGGGGACUUCCCGAUAUCGGGGGAUAACUACUGGAAACGGUAGCUAAUACCGCAUACUAUCGGAUAACCCAUAUGGGAUUAGCUAGUAUGUGUGGUACUGGCUCACAUAGGCGACGAUCCCUAGCUGGUCUGAGAGGAUGAUCAGCCACACUGGGACUGAGACACGGCCCAGACUCCUACGGAGGCAGCAGUGGGUAAUAUUGCACAAUGGGGGCAAGCCUGAUGCAGCCAUGCCGCGUGUAUGAAGAAGGCCCUAGGGUUGUAAAGUCCUUUCAGUCGGGAGGCGUUACCAACAGAAGAAGCACCGGCUAACUCCGUGCCAGCCGCCGCGGUAAAAC